rnacentral:misc_RNA from 1 species
GUAGGUGAACCUGCGGAGGGAUCAUUAACACGUGCCCAAAACACGUUUUAAACCAAUCGCUCUGUGAACACAAACCCAACUCCCUUCACAUGUGGACGACCGAACAACCAUCAGGGUGGAGAGCGUGUGCAUAUGGAAUAAUCGAAUCGGAAACGAGGAGACUCCGUAUGUCGUGUGACUAUGGCUCGGUCUAAAGCUCCUUCGAGAGUCCAAUCCUGUGCGAAGCGAUGCGCGACCACCUGGCAGUGUGCCUUUCUCAUGGCUUGCAUUCGUGCGGGCUGUGUGACUGCGCAAGCGUUCUGCCGAAUGUUUAACCCCACUUUUUUAACCCCUUUAACAACAUACUAAUAACUGAACCAUGUUCAUGCAGUUGCUUGCCUGACUUCGGUCAAGGCAUGUUGGCUCAUGAUACGAUAUACGUAAUGCUGAACAACUCUUAGCAAUGGAUAUCUUGGUUCUC